GGAUCCUUUAACCACUGUGCCAACUGGGGAUUGAACCUGCAUCCUGGCACUGCAGAGAUGCUGUCAAUUCUUUGUGCCACAGUGGGAACUCCUGCUUUCUAAAUUGUCUUUAAGCUAUUUGUUAAUUCUAUGGAACCAGACUAUUCAAACUCUCCACCAAAUCUUCAAUCCACCAACAGCAUCAGAUGGAAUUCCUGAGUCCUGCUUCAGCCAUAGAAGAAAGCUCCCUGAGACCAGGGCACUGCUCAGCAAUGCAUGGCCAGUCACAGGAAGAACCACACCUGGGUACCUUCACAUCAUGGAUUUUCCAGAAGCUACUGGCCUGGAGAGAUUUGAUCUUUCCUUGGUGCGUCCUUUCUCAGCUUACAUGGAAGGUGCCACCCGCUUUCCUACUUCAAGAUGCUCCUGGAUGCCAGUCCUGUCUUCUCCAGACAUUCCAUUUUGAGCUUAAUGGAAGUGGUGCCGCUGAAUUCAGAUCUACUGAGAGGGGCUGGAAUGCUUACGGAAGGGGUAGACUUUUGGGGAUAUUUUGAAUCAGGUUAUGCUAACCCCAACUCUGGAGAAACCUCUGACUCUGAAAUAACAAAAGGAAUAGGGGACAAGGUUUUAAAACCCUACUCAACCCUCUGACACAGUAAC
rnacentral:lncRNA from 1 species